GAUGAACGCUGGCGGCGUGCCUAAUACAUGCGAGUCGAGCGAACGGACGAGAAGCUUGCUUCUCUGAUGUUAGCGGCGGACGGGUGAGUAACACGUGGAUAACCUACCUAUAAGACUGGGAUAACUUCGGGAAACCGGAGCUAAUACCGGAUAAUAUUUUGAACCGCAUGGUUCAAAAGUAAAAGACGGUCUUGCUGUCACUUAUAGAUGGAUCCGCGCUGCAUUAGCUAGUUGGUAAGGUAACGGCUUACCAAGGCAACGAUGCAUAGCCGACCUGAGAGGGUGAUCGGCCACCCUGGAACUGAGACACGGUCCAGACUCCUACGGGAGGCAGCAGUAGGGAAUCUUCCGCAAUGGGCGAAAGCCUGACGGAGCAACGCCGCGUGAGUGAUGAAGGUCUUCGGAUCGUAAAACUCUGUUAUUAGGGAAGAACAUAUGUGUAAGUAACUGUGCACAUCUUGACGGUACCUAAUCAGAAAGCCACGGCUAACUACGUG
rnacentral:rRNA from 1 species